UACGGAAGAGAAGAGAAGCUGAAGAAACCACUCGAUCACCACCUCACAUCAUUUACUCGAUCGCACCACUCGAUCGCAAGGUCGCUGGACCAUUCCAUCUCGUCUUCACUACAGACCACUCGAUCGCAAGACAGAGUUCCCGAAGCCCAGUUUGAUCAGUUUCACUCGAUCACAGGGAAGCCCAUUUCAGCCCAUCAGAUGCUUGAUCGCAAAGUCUUGUUGUGAAGACCACUAUCCCGAACUUUCCUUAUUUAACUUUUUUCGCUUAUAUAAGCAGCCUCUAAGGGUUUUCCCUAGGGCAUCCAGUUUUUAUUUUCAGUUUUUACCUAGACUCGUUUUGGUAGCCGCAGUGUGUUCUUCCUGCGACUUUGUAUUUGCUUUCAAGUAUUUUAUAAUUCAGUUUUUGUUUCACUCUUUAUCAUUUCUUGUUAUCAUGUUUUCUAUCGUUUCAUUGCUAUUGUUUUUGAUUAUGUCUGAGUAGUGAAGUGUAUUUCUGAGGAUGGGAUAGAGUGGUCGUGGUUGUCUUAGUCGAUUUAGAUGGUUGAGUUUAGAUUGUUUGAAUCCCUUCUGGAUUAGUUGCGCUUAUUGCUUGUUCCUUUCUGAUCAACUGGAAAAUGAAUCCAGACAUUCCCGCACCUAAAAGGUGUUUGAUGGAAUGUUUGAUCCACUAAUUCCAGAGAUACUCGUCUCUAUCCCAAGGUAUUGGCCGUUUAGAGCGGGUAUUGGCUUUAACAAGUUGAUUCGAUAUUGCCUGCUUAGUUAGAGAUCGCUAAUGGUGAUUAGGUCUGUGUCUAGCUCUGCUUGAGAAUUUCUAUCACGGUGGUGAAUUGAUUUGCUUUUGAACUUGUUGUCAAGGGAUAGCUUCUGUGAAGUUUUGUCAACCAUCUAAAUAGAUUAAGGAGACCACGCUAUUCGAUUACCCUGUCCUUAGGAAUCUCUCAUCCAUUUGAUUGCCUGCUAUUUUACCUGCUUUAUUAUUCAACUGCCUGCUAUUGCUAGUUUGCAUCUCGGUUUCAUUUCAUUUCUGUUAUUUCGCAUUAGGAUUGUUAGAAAACAACAACUCUCUGCUUGGCUUGACUUAGCAAAUUCUGAUCAUAUCUCAUCUGUUUGCAUCGCACUAGAUUGGAUUGAUACCCUAAAAUACUACGACGACACGAUAGUGUUUUAGGUUUAAUUGAUCUGAAAAGUCUAUUAUCAAUUUGGCGCCGUUGCCAGUUUAGUGUUUGUUUGCUAUAUUUGAGAUCAUUAGAAUCGUUAAGAUCAAGUUCGUUUUUGUUACACAAGAUACUGACAUUGUGUUUUUCUGUCUGUGUUUCAGGUACUCACAGCAACCAGCUUUACAGACUCAUCUUUGAUUGGUCUGCUAAAGCCUUGCUGUUACCUGUUAUAUGCAUACACGGUCAAGAGGAAAUCAGAAUCUCCUUUUCAACGAUAACAUCGACCGUAUCGCUCGCCAACUAAGAGAACAAAAAGCAACAGACACAAUGGCUGAUAUUGUAGAUGACCAAGACCAACCCAACAACAUUGGUGCUGGUGACUUCCCACACAAUCACAACCAGCGUCAUGGAAUUGUUCCUCCACCAGUCCAGAACAACAACUUUGAGAUCAAGAGCGGUCUCAUUGCAAUGGUUCACGGGAACAAGUUUCACGGCUUGCCAAUGGAGGAUCCGCUUGAUCAUCUUGACGAGUUUGAAAGGCUCUGUGGCCUUACUAAAAUCAAUGGAGUAAGUGAAGAUGGUUUCAAGCUUCACUUGUUUCCAUUCUCACUUGGAGACAAAGCCCAUCUGUGGGAAAAGACGCUACCCCGGGGUUCAAUCACGACCUGGGAUGACUGCAAAAAAUCCUUCUUGGCUAAAUUCUUCUCCAACUCCAGAACAGCAAGACUCCGGAAUGAGAUAUCCGGAUUCACUCAGAAGAAUGCUGAAACCUUCUGUGAAGCAUGGGAGCGCUUCAAAGGUUAUCAGACCAAAUGCCCUCAUCACGGCUUUGGAAAAGCUUCUCUUCUCAGCACACUCUACAGAGGCGUCCUUCCCAAGAUAAGGAUGCUACUUGACACCGCUUCCAAUGGGAACUUCCUCAACAAAGACGUUGGAGAAGGGUGGGAGCUCGUUGAAAACUUAGCUCAGUCGGAUGGCAAUUACAACGAGGAUUAUGACAGAAGCAUCCGCACUAGUACUGACACUGAUGACAAGCACCGCAAAGAGAUGAAAGCUCUCAAUGACAAACUUGACAAGCUCCUGCAAGUGCAACAGACGCAUGUUCACUUCGUCUCUGAAGAUGAACAAUUCCAAGUCCAAGAGGGGGAGAAUGAUCAGUCUGCUGAAAUCAGUUACAUUCAGAACCAAGGUGGCUACAACAACUACAGACCAAACCCGAAUCUGUCAUACAGAAGCAACAAUGUUUCCAACCCUCAAGACCAAGUUUAUCCUUCUCAGCAGCAGCAGCAACAACAACCCAAACCGUUUGUUCCAUACAACCAAGGUCAAGGGUUCGUUCCAAAGCAGCAGUUCCAGGGAGGAUAUCAAUAACAGCAACCACCACCUGGUUUCCCAUCACAGCAACAUCAAGCACCUUCGCCUCCGGAUUCUGAUAUAAAGAACAUGGUCCAACAGAUACUUCAAGGGCAAGCCACAGGAGCGAUGGAAAUUGCAAAAAAGUUGGCUGAAUUAAACAACAAAGUCGACCGCAAUUUCUGUAACCUUAACAACAAGUUUGAAUCAUUGAGUACUAGACUACGCUAUCUGGAAGCCAAUCCUAUUUCAACAUCCAUUUCCAACAACCCAGGCCAACUUCCAGGGAAAGCAAUCCAGAACCCAAAGGAGUAUGCCACUGCUCAUGCUAUCACUAUCUGCUAUGAUCGAGAGCUGCCAACUCGACAUGCCCUUAACUCAAUCACUGAGGGCAGUGUGGUUCAAGAGGGGGAGGAUUUUUGUCAAGAUGACGUUAUGGCUGACCAAACACUAGAGGAGCCCAUACUCGACAAGCAGUCUACUCGCCCACCAGCUUCACCAGUCGCUCCCACUGUUGAAAAACCAGCUGCUGCAAAGACCAAGGAUACAGUCUUGGUGCCACCACCUUACAAACCCCCGCUUCCAUUCCCUGGUCGAUUCAAGAAAGUGCUUAUUAAGAAGUAUCAAGCCCUCCUGGAAAAACAACUGAAAGACCUCGAAGUAACGAUGCCUCUAGUGGACUGUCUUGCACUAAUACCAGAUUCCCACAAGUAUGUGAAGGAUAUGAUCACGAAGAGAAUCAGAGAAGUUCAAGGAAAGGUGGUUUUGAGUCAUGAGUGCAGUGCAAUCAUCCAAACGAAGAUUAUUCCCAAGAAAUUGGGAGAUCCUGGUUCGUUUACCUUACCUUGCUCUCUAGGUCCUUUAGCCUUCAGUAACUGCCUCUGUGAUCUAGGUGCUUCUAUAAGUCUCAUGCCUCUCUCUGUGGCCAAUAGACUGGGUUACAGCAAGUAAAAAUCUUGCAACAUCUCCUUGAUCUUGGCAGAUAGGUCUGUUAGACUACCUCAUGGGUUAUUAGAAGAUUUGCCUAUAAGGAUUGGAAAUGUUGAAGUGCCCACAGACUUCAUAGUGCUAGAAAUGGAUGAAGAACCAAAAGAUCCUUUAAUCAUAGGAAGGCCCUUCUUAGCAACAGCCGGAGCAGUCAUAGAUGUUAAAAAAGGGAAGAUUGAUCUUAAUCUUGGAAAAGAUUUUAAGAUAAAGUUGGACAUCAAUGAUGCUAUAAAGAAGCCGACAAUAAAAGGACAAACCUUCAUGGUUAAGGAAAUGGAUCGGCUAGCUGAUGAACUGCUAGAGGAGCUUGCUGAUGAAGAUCGCCUUCAAACUGCUUUAACAAAGAGUGGUGAAGCUGGGUAUCUCCCAAGUGAGACCUUUAGCUCUGAGAACUUAUUAGACUCACGCAAGGCAACAACUGGAUCAGAUGUCAUUGAGGGUUUGAUUGCGUCAGAAAAAAAUGGUAUGGCAGCAAUUGAGGCAAGCUCGCCCCAUAACCGACCUGCUGACUUGACCGUCUACUCGAGUAAUCCUUUAACUCGCCCACAGAGCUCAUGCUCGACAAAACUGCUUAAUCAGAAGCUAGAGUCUCACAAUUUUGCAUCAGACGAUUGGUUAAAACUCAUGGAGAGGUCUAAAUGGCAGGACAAAGCCAUAAGGGAGUUAACAGACACUGUGAGAAAUCUAAAGGAUCAAGUCAAAGUGCUCCAUGGGAAAGCCAACCAAGGACCACUCAAUAUCAAGGACGUACCAAAUGAUGAAGCCAUUGCUCUGGUUAGCAAAGAAAAAAAUGAAUUCACAUUUGAUUGGUCUAUAGAAGAAGACUAUCCGGAUGAUCAGAAAGAAGCUUACUUUAAAGAAUCGGCCAUUGAGUACUCAGUUGCAGACUUGUCAAGAGAGCAUGCUGAGUUUGAUGAUCCAUCUACUGGGGAAGAAGAGGAGGCCGCAUUUCAUCUCCACAAACCUCCCUAGGCCUAAUAAGUGUGAGGAGUCAAGCUAGAGACUUAAAACAAGCUCACUUGGGAGGAAGUCCCAUGACUAUCCUUGUAUAUAGUUUUUAUUUUCUUGUUGUUUUUGAUUUGUGUUGGUAGUGUUUUUUUAGUUCUCAAGAGGCGUAAUUGUCAAGAGCAGUAACAGAAGAAAUAUGGUGAACACACUCGAUCGCAACGUCGGGGUAUCAUUGAUGCCUUGCGAUCGAGUGCUUUGGUUUAGGGGAAGGCUACAGUUCGAAAUUUUUAUUGAACAUACUCGAUCACGAGAUCGCAUGAACGCCGUGCUCCACAACCUGCUGGGGUUGCAAUUGAGCACGAUGAUGAGGAGAUGGCGGAAGCGCAGCUAGGACCUGUCAUGCCUACGGAUUACACUCAAGCGGAGAUGGAUGACUACAUCUCCAGGCAAUUUUCCUGAGGUAACACACCAAAAAACAAUUGUAAAUACCGUUUUUGUUUUUGUUUCUUGUGUUUAUCUUGAAUUCUUUCACAAAUUUUUAUUACACAAGGGACUGUGUAAUUUAAGUUUGGGGGAGGGUUCAAGACGUAUUUGACUUAUUUUUUGUGAAUAUCAUUUGAGUCUGCAUAUCAUCUAAAACAUAGAAAAAAAACAAAAAAAUUUGAAAAUUUCUGAAAAUGUGUUCCACAAAAACAGAGUGCUCAUGUAGCUGCAUUGCAUUUAGGAUCGAGUCUAGAGUGUUUCAUUUAGGAUUGUUGCAUAUGCAUAGGGGAUAAUGAGGAAAUAACCUUGUAAGCAUGUUGAUUUACUGAAUAAACUCAAUGCCCUCGUUACUAGUUGUCUGAUGCAUUUGAAUGACUUUGAAGUAAAACUGCACCAUGUUCUAUAGAAACCACUCGAUAGCAUGUCAUGAAACCUUUCCCUGUCAAUUUGAACUUGAAUCUGACUUAUAAUUAUCAUGUUUGCAUCGGUUUUGAACUCGUGGAUAGAAUACAUACUUGGAUUUUCUUUCACUUAUUCACCACUCUUGUUAAUCCAAGUAGCUGCUUCUGUUAUUGGAGUAGUUUCCCCACCCUUAACCAACCCUUCUUUCAAGCCAUGUUAUUUGUGAGAGCAUGUGAGGCCUAUUUCAGGAUUGAGCUUGGUAGAACGUGUUAGGUUUGAGCCGACAAGAGUAGUAUCUCAUGUAGUUCCAAUCCGCAUUUUCGGACUUGGUAGGACUAGGUGGGAACUUAUUUGGGAUUGAGAUUGAGUGUGAAAAGAAAAAAGAAAAAAAACGGGUUAAAGUCUUUAGGAGAAGGAAGUUGAAAAUCAUACUCAGGUCUAGUGAAUAUUUGGGAAGUAAAGAAUUGUUAAGUUAUGCUCUAAAAAAAAAAAAAAAAAAAAAAAAAAAAAAAUGGCAACAAAAACAGAAAAGAUUAUAAGAGCCAUAAGAGUUUAAGAAAAACCAAUUCACUAGACUAGACUCAUAGAGUAUAAGAAAGUUUCUCCUUAAGAACAAGAGCCAAAGAAAAGAAAAGACAGAUUGAUCCAAGAAAAAUAUCGAAAUAUGCCUUUAGUGCAAAAGGGUAGACUUAGGAUCAUCAAUGGGUUUAGAAAUAGGACCAUCUACUUGUUAUUCACAGUUUAUGUCAUUGGGUAGAUGGGAUGCUAUUCUUGUAUGCAUAGGUUGGCACUUACCUUUAGCAUUCUUCUAAAGCUCAGUCUAUUCUUAUUGAGAGUCCGCUGUUAUUAAAAUCUGAACCACCUUAAAGGGACCAUCUUUGUCUCAUAACCUGUCCUUAGCCAAACGAGUUCACUAACGUUGCACAGCUUGAUUCAUGAUUUUGAACUUAAUGAAUGUUAAAGGGAUUGGUUGAUUUUGACGCAUUAUGCAAUUGAGUGUGAGUUGGAUCUUGACAGAGCAUGGCUAAAGUUUUUGAGUAGAAGUCGUUCACCACGCAUCUUAGAACUAUUAACUUGGACAUUGAGCUUAAUUACUUCAUCACAUGUUUUGGUUCUGAGUCCCCAACUUCAAACCUCUCCUCCCGCUUAUGUUUUCUUGUUUGCUUGAGGGCAAGCAAAGACUAAGUUUGGGGGAGUUGAUAUGUCUAUAAUUUGCAUGAUUUAAGCAUUCAUUCUUCAUCACUUUGUCAUUGUUUCAAUCACAUUUCAUCUCAUUAGUAGUCGUUUUAGUGUGUUUUGCAUACUUAGGACGUUUUUGCAUUAGGAUUGCAUGUGCAUUGCAUAUUUGGUUGUUUUCAGGUACUUUGGAUGCUUUUGGAGUUCAAACAGAGGAGAAACAGAACAGAAAUUCAGAACGCUCAAUCACUCCCUCAGCCAAAGCACUCGAUCGCAACCUCGGAGCCCUGACAGAGCAAAGCACUCGAUCGCAACCCCAGAAACUGUUAUGAAGGGCAAAACCACUCGAUCACAACCCCGGAGCAAUUUCAGAAGAAACCACUCGAUCGCAAGAUCGAGCAGAAGCUGUCAUGAAGGACAUAUCACUCGAUAACAACCCUGGAGAAGCCAGCAGCUUAGUUUCACUCGAUCGCAAGCUCGGAGGGAUCACCCACUCUACACCACUCGAUCACCACCUUGUCAUCAGAAGCCCAUCUACUCAUUCCUCACUCAACCAGACAAGCUGAGCAUACGGAAGAGAAGAGAAGCUGAAGAAACCACUCGAUCACCACCUCACAUCAUUUACUCGAUCGCACCACUCGAUCGCAAGGUCGCUGGACCAUUCCAUCUCGUCUUCACUAUAGACCACUCGAUCGCAAGACAGAGUUCCCGAAGCCCAGUUUGAUCAGUUUCACUCGAUCACAGGGAAGCCCAUUUCAGCCCAUCAGAUGCUUGAUCGCAAAGUCUUGUUGUGAAGACCACUAUCCCGAACUUUCCUUAUUUAACUUUUUUCGCUUAUAUAAGCAGCCUCUAAGGGUUUUCCCUAGGGCAUCCAGUUUUUAUUUUCAGUUUUUACCUAGACUCGUUUUGGUAGCCGCAGUGUGUUCUUCCUGCGACUUUGUAUUUGCUUUCAAGUAUUUUAUAAUUCAGUUUUUGUUUCACUCUUUAUCAUUUCUUGUUAUCAUGUUUUCUAUCGUUUCAUUGCUAUUGUUUUUGAUUAUGUCUGAGUAGUGAAGUGUAUUUCUGAGGAUGGGAUAGAGUGGUCGUGGUUGUCUUAGUCGAUUUAGAUGGUUGAGUUUAGAUUGUUUGAAUCCCUUCUGGAUUAGUUGCGCUUAUUGCUUGUUCCUUUCUGAUCAACUGGAAAAUGAAUCCAGACAUUCCCGCACCCAAAAGGUGUUUGAUGGAAUGUUUGAUCCACUAAUUCCAGAGAUACUCGUCUCUAUCCCAAGGUAUUGGCCGUUUAGAGCGGGUAUUGGCUUUAACAAGUUGAUUCGAUAUUGCCUGCUUAGUUAGAGAUCGCUAAUGGUGAUUAGGUCUGUGUCUAGCUCUGCUUGAGAAUUUCUAUCACGGUGGUGAAUUGAUUUGCUUUUGAACUUGUUGUCAAGGGAUAGCUUCUGUGAAGUUUUGUCAACCGUCUAAAUAGAUUAAGGAGACCACGCUAUUCGAUUACCCUGUCCUUAGGAAUCUCUCAUCCAUUUGAUUGCCUGCUAUUUUACCUGCUUUAUUAUUCAACUGCCUGCUAUUGCUAGUUUGCAUCUCGGUUUCAUUUCAUUUCUGUUAUUUCGCAUUAGGAUUGUUAGAAAACAACAACUCUCUGCUUGGCUUGACUUAGCAAAUUCUGAUCAUAUCUCAUCUGUUUGCAUCGCACUAGAUUGGAUUGACACCCUAAAAUACUACGACGACACGAUAGUGUUUUAGGUUUAAUUGAUCUGAAAAGUCUAUUAUCAAUCUCUUCCCUAAAAUUAUUCAUAUAUACGUAUAAACACAUAUUACAAGAUGUAAUGAUGAGGUUGCAUUAAUUAAAGUGGGCAAUAGUCAUGUCUAAACUUUUUUGGCAUUUAAUCAUGAUGGCACAUAGUUUUUUUAAUGUUAUUAAGCCUCCAUUUUCACUGUACAGCUGCAAAAAACAAAUAAAAACAAAAAUAUAUGACCCUAACUAAACAUUGUACAUAACAGAACCGCGUAACUGAACCGCGUAACUGAACCGCGUAACUGAACCGCGUAACUGAACCGUACACGAAACAGUACAUCGUUACGUAAGCAAGGGUAUUUUGGUCAGAAUUUGGCUGAAUUAUCAUAACGUGAGAGGUGACGCUCACUUUGCCAAACCGUUAAAAUAAAACAUGGUCUUAUGCCCUGUCUCGUUAAUUAUAAGGAUUUUAUCCCUGUCGUAGUGAUUUGGGUUUUCCCUGUACGAUUCAUAUCGCUUCAAGACUUCAUCAUCUGUGUUAAUCGAAGAAAUAAACGGCUUUUGUGUUUCUUGGUUCACACUUGUCUGACUCGUCUUCUCUGUUUCCUUGGAUGGCAAGAAAGAAGAAUCUUGAGGUCUCUCUCAUUAUUCUUGACUAGUGCGUGCUCGAUUCUGAAGACAUAUGGAUGUCGAGUUACAGGAAGAUCCUUUGGAGCACAGGAGAGAGCUGUAUGCGGGAAGCUGCGAGACAUAAAAUGAUGAUGACGUGGCAAGCUGCGAUUGGUGACUGGAGUUUCCAGAACGUGAGAAUCAAGUUAUUCAAGAUAUAUGCAAAUCAAGGAAAAAAGAUUUGAAGAUAUCUUAGAAUAGGAAAUUAGGUUAGCUGCGUUUGUGUGGCUACCUAUAUAUUGGUAGUCUAAGCGUUAGGCUUAGGUUGGCCAUCGUUUAUCAUCUCUGUGAAUCACAAGUUCUAGGCUAGAAGCUGUUAGGGUUCUUGGUGAGUGAUCAGAGUGUCCAGCAUAGUUGUUGCUGUGUUUGUGAGAUUGGGUAGAUUAGGAAUUGGUUAGUGACGAGUUGUGUCAACGUCGUGUAAAUCAGAUUAAACAGAUCUAUUAGAUUGUUUAAGUGAUUCCUAAUAAAGAAAAGAGGUUAUUUUCAAUCCCAACGACAUCUACGUUAUAACAUUUGGUAUCAGAGCAGGUGACCGACCUGAGUGCUGACUCAACACAGGCUAAGAUCCUGCGUGUAACACUCCGGUUUCAGGAAUAUGGUGGUGCAUGCGGAGAGGUUUAAAAGAAUUGAUUUGGCUACCUAUGUCACCAAAGUGCACUUAUCUUUUCGGUCAACUGUCCUGAAAGAACUCCACAGUUAAGGGUGCUUGAGCUGGAGCAAUUUCAGGAUGGGUGACCUUCCGGGAAGUGAUUGUCGGAAAUAUGUGAGUGAGGACAAAACACAGAGAAAGAUCAUGUGGUGAUUUGUAGGGUCGGUAAACAAGUCUUUAAAGCCUUCCGGACGUAACGGAUUGGCCGUCGAAAGUGGUGGGACUGCAGGCCCGAGAGAGGACGUGGGGCCCAUUAAGAGAAUUGGCGGUCGGGGCGUUACAAGUGGUAUCAGAGCCGAACCCAGACGAGUGUGGAGUCAAGAGGGCUCACACCGUAGGGGGUGACGGUCUUGGUGCGCAACGAGGACGUUGCGAUCUGUUAGUGGGGGUGAAUUGUAACACCCCGGUUUCAAGAAUAUGGUGGUGCAUGCAGAGAGGUUUAAAAGAAUUGAUUUGGCCACCUAUGUCACGAAAGUGCACUUAUCUUUUCGGUCAAUUGUCCUGAAAGAACUUCACAGUUAAGGGUGCUUGAGCUGGAGCAAUUUCAGGAUAGGUGACCUUCCGGGAAGUGAUUGUCGGAACUGUGUGAAUGAGGACAAAACACAGGAAAAGAUCAUGUGGUGAUUUAUAGGGUCGGCAAACAAGUCUUUAAAGCCUCCCGGACAUAACAGACUGGCCGUCGAAAGUGGUGGGCCUGCGGGCCCGAGAGAGGACGUGUGGCCCAUUAAGAGAAUUGGCGGUCGAGGCGUUACACUGCGGAUUACAGAUGUCGAAGACAAAACUCCAGAGACCAGUGAUGUUGGACCACAAAGGCUACGGCUACUGGAAAACACGGAUGAUGCAGUUAAUGAGAGGGCUGGGUGAAGACGCCUGGACUGCAAUUGAAGAUGGUUGGGAAGCUCCGUUCAGCACAACCGAGGCAGGUAUGAAGGUGAAGAAACUAAAAGCAAACUGGAAUGAUGCAGAGAAGAGUCUGUCCAAAUUUAAUGCAAGGGCCAUGAAUACUAUCUACUCAUGCCUUGAUGAUAAUGAAUUCAAUCUGGUUCAAAGAAGUGAGUCUGCUAAACAGAUGUGGGAUAUUCUACAAAAAUCACAUGAAGAAAAAACUAGUGUAAAACGCACCAGGUUAGAUCAAUUGGCUACAGAUUUUGAAAAUCUGAAGAUGGAUCCUGCAGAGACGAUUGUUCAGUACAGAUCCAAACUGAGUGGUAUUGCUAAUGAAGCGAAGACAUUGGGAAAAAUAUAUAAAGAGAAGAAAUUGGUGAAGAAACUGCUUUGUUGUCUACCACAGAAGUAUGCUGCACACAAGGCUGUCAUGAGGUUAUCAGGUAACACAGAUACUCUUAAAUAUGAAGACCUGCUUGGGAUUCUGAAGUCUGAUGAAAUGGAAGUUGUUGAAUAUCAACAAAAUCUGAACAAAGGAAUAGCAUUCAAAGCUGAUGAAGAAAAAGGCCCAGAUCCGCUGCAAGAAAUUAGAGACAACAUGUCUCUCAUAACCAGAAACCUUGGAAAAGCUCUGAAACAUGUAGAAAGAGGUUAAAACAGGGAAUCCAACCGUUGGAACAAGGGUGAUGCAGGAAAGUUAGGCAACAUGUCUGAUGCAAAAAAGUCAGGCAACAGGUCUGAUGCGAACGAAACAUCAGGAAGAAGGCAUGAUCUAAAAUGUCAUGAGUGUGGAGGUAUGGGACAUACCAGACCUGAAUGUCCUGUAGCAAAACGUAAGGAUAUGAAGUGCUAUGAGUGUAAUGGUGUUGGACACCUGAAAUCUGAAUGUCCAAGUGCAUAGAAAGUCAAAGAGAAGUCUUUUCUGAGUCUUAGUAAUUCUGAAUCAGACAGUGAUGAUGCAACAGAAGUUAUACUGAAUUUUGUUGCAUUCAUCGUUAAGGAUGACGACAAAUCAGGCAGUGAGGACUCUGAUUCAGAUAAUGAUGGAGAGCUGAUCACAAGCGACAACUACCGCACCCUAUAUGACAGUUGGGUACUGCUGAGCAAUGAUAAGCUGCAGCUCACUAAGGAGAAUCUGAUGCUUAUGGCAAAAGUGAACAUGUUAGAAGUAGAAGCCAAAGAAGAGAAAGUUGGUGAAAAGCUACCUUUGCCUGAGAAGCAAAUUUUUGAGAAAAAGAUGAAUCUCUUUCAAGAAGGUUAUGAGAAAGAGAAAGAAAAAUCUCUUAUGCUGGAAAGAAAACUGAGUGAAAACCACAAGAAAAUCCGAAUACUGAACAGUGGUGGUAAAAAUCUUGACCAGAUUCUUUCCAUGGGAAUAGUUGGAUCAAGCCACAAAGGUUUGGUGUAUCAGCCCUAUGCUCCCAAAGCAUCCCUGGAUGUGUCUAAGACUGUCCAGUUUGUGAAGAGUACAACCUAUCAUGGAGAAGAUGCUCAAGGAGUGAAAACAGUAGAGUAGAAACAGCAAUCCAGAAAGACAAACCAAGAUGCUUCACAAAAUGCGGCUGUAAAAUACAGGAAGGCAGAACCCAGAAAGAAGUGGACCAGGUCCAACAGAGGUCGAAGAGUGUUUGAUUGCUUCUACUGUGGAAAACCAGGUCAUACCAGAAACUUUUGUUACAAGUUUCAAGACAAGAUCAAGCAAUUGUGGCAGGCACGUAAAUGCUUUAUUGAUCCUUCUAAGUUCUGUAAAGUCUGGGUUUGCAAGAGAGAUCUGUACAACAAAGAUCCUGAGCAUGAUGAAGAAAAGUACAACAGAGCAGUUGCUGAAUCUAAAGGAAUCAGCUUGACCUGUAAUGUGACCAUUGCACAACUUGAUGAGUCUGAUGAAGAUGAGAGUCUCACAGAAAAGGUAGCCUACACAUCUACAGAUGGAACUGCAAGUAACCCUUGGUACUUUGACAGUGGCUAUUCAAGACUUAUAACAGGUGAUCUGAAUGUUCCGUCAACCUUCACAGAAGAGGCCUGCGAAAAAGUAACAUUUGGAGAUGGUGGUAAAAGAUGCAUAAAAGGCAAAGGAAACAUUGAAGGUGAUGAUCAACCAUCAUUAAUAAAUGUGUUCUAUGUUGAAGGCUUGAAAGUUAAUCUAAUCAGCAUAAGUUAGUUGCGCGAUGAUGGUCUGAAAGUGAUCUUCACAAGAACUGACUGUAAAGCUGUUGAUGAGAAUGGAAAUACUGUACUGUGUGGGGUUCGCUCUGGGAAUAACUGCUACAUAUGGAAGGCAUCAGAUGUCUGUCUAUCUUCAUCUGCAUCAGACUUAAAGCUGUGGCACAAGAGACUUGGACAUAUGAACGUCCAGAAUCUGGUUAAAAUUGUGAACGCUGGAGUGGUUCGAGGUGUACCAAAACUGGUUGACAAACUGGAGUCUUUGUGCAGUGCAUGUAAUAAAGGAAAGCAGAUCAAGGUCAAUCAUAAGAAGGUACCUGAAAUUGAAACUAAAAAUGUACUUGAGCUGAUUCAUAUGGAUCUCAUGGGUCUAGUACAAGUGGAAAGUAUCAAUGGGAAGAAGUACAUCUUUGUGUUGGUAGAUGAUUUUUUAAGGUACACAUGGGUUCAGUUCCUAAGAGAGAAGUCUGAACCAGUGGAAAGUUUUAAGAUUCUUGCCCUACAACUUCAGAAUGAAAAGGGAAGGAUCAUUCAGAUAAGAAGUGAUCAUGGUGGAGAAUUCCAAAAUGAGUUUUUUGAACAGUUCUAUAAAACUCAAGGAAUCAGACAUCAGUAUUCAGCACCCAGAACACUUCAGUAUAAUGGAGUUGUUGAACGGAAAAACAAAAUACUGCAGGAAACGGCUCGUGCUAUGAUACAUGGUAAAACAUCUCUCAAGGUUUCUGGGCAGAAGCAGUUAGCACAGCAUGCUACAUUGUCAACAGGGUUUAUGUAAAACCUGGAACAAAGACCACUUCAUACGAGAUAUGGAAGGGAAAAAGUCUGAAUCUGAGCCAUUUUCGUGUAUUUGGAUGUGUUUGUUAUAUUCGUAAUGACAAUGAGCACUUUGGAAAAUUCGACUCUAGAAGUGAUGAGGGAAUUUUCUUGGAAUACUCUACAAACAGCUCAACAUACAGAGUGUACAACAAGAGGACCAAGUACAUUGUUGAUACUGACAAUGUGGUCUUUGAUGACAAAAAUAUAUUUCUGUUACCUCAUGUACUAGACGAGUUCAUAGAAGAACCUGUAGUAGACGAGUCUACAGAAGCACCUGUAGCAGACAAGUCUACAGAAGCACAUGCAGCUGUCGAGUCUACAGAAGCACCUACAGCUGACGCACCUAAAACAGUUGUUGAAGAAAAAGUCAAUGACAGAGAAGUAUCAUCUGAGACACAGUCACCUGUUGCACCUUUUGCGACAAAGAAGCUAGUUGUUCAUAAGAAUCAUUCAGCUGCUGAUGUGAUAGGAAAUCUGAAUGAAAGAACGACCAGAGGUGUUCAGCUUAACUUCCAAGAAAUGCUGCAGUACUCGUGUUUUGUGUCUUUAGUUGAACCCAAGAAUAUUGUUGCAGCUCUUGAAGAUGAAUUCUGGUAUGGUGCAUGUACAGAGGAACUAAAUCAGUUUUCCAGAAAUGAAGUGUGGGAUCUGGUACCUCGACCUGUACAGGUAAAUGUUUUGGGCACAAAAUGGAUAUUCAAUAACAAGAUUGAUGAAGAUGGGAAUGUGACCCGCAACAAAGCUCGUCUGGUUGCACAAGGAUACUCCCAAGUAGAAGUUAUCGAAUUUGAUGAGACUUUCACUCUUGUAGCACGUCUUGAGUCAUUUAGAUUGCUCCUUGAAAUUGCAUGUGUGCUGAACAUCAAGUUGCAUCAGAUGGAUGCAAAGAGUACAUUUCUGAAUUGGUCUGCUCCAAGAAGAAGUAUAUGUUGCCCAGCCUAAAGGAUUUGAAGAUUCUCACUUUCCUGAGUAUGUAUACAAGCUGAAGAAGGCGCUCUAUGGAUUGAAGCAGGCUCCACUUGCUUGGUAUGAAAGACUGACUCAAUUUCUGGUAGACAAUGGAUUUAACAGAGGCCUGUAGACAAGACUCUGUUUAUCUAUAACUCUGGAUCAGACAUUCUGGUUGUCCAGAUCUAUGGAGAUGAUAUUGUAUUUGGAAGCACCAGAACAGAACUACUCAACAAGUUUGUCCAGACAAUGACUAAGCAGUUCAAAAUGGGCAUGGUCAGAGAGUUGAAUUACUUCUUGGUUUUACAGAUUACACAAUCUUUCGAGGGUAUGUUCAUCUCCCAGAGCACAUAUGCGAAGAAUCUCAUCAAGUGGUUUGACCUGCAAACCAGCAAGACAGCACGCACUCCCAUUAGUACAGCCUCAAAGCUGUGAGAUUACAAGUGCAAUUGAUAUCACAAAAAGUCCUGUUCAACACACUCGCACUAAGCACAUUGAUGUUAGGCACCAUUUCGUUAGAGAAAUAAUUGAAGGGAAACUUGUUGAAAUUCAUUAUAUUGCUACUGAGAAACAGCUGGCUUAUAUCUUUACUAAACCACUUGAUUUGAGAACUUUCAGAAAUUUGUAAAAGUCACUUUGUAUUUGUGAACACUGAACACUGACCUGCUUUGUCACUAAGGGAUUAUUGUAACAGGAUCACUACACAGGAGUACAUCAGUUUUUUAAUCCCUUGGUUACUGUGCUGUAGACUACAGCCUGUACAUAACAAGAAAAAUCUCCUAUUGGCAACUUCACUCAGAAAAAGAGCUGCUCUUCAUAUCUGGCUUCGAAGAUGUUCAACAGAGAUGGCUUUCUCGUUUGCAUAUCAAUCUUGAUCACUAAAAAAAAAGAAAGAACAAGAAACAAAGGAAUGAAAAGAUGAGAUAAUUUUCUUUUGAGUAAAGGGGUAGGAAAAUUUCCAAUAACCUCAUUAUUUUACUUUGAAAGGAAUGAUCACACAAAGGUUAGAAGCGAUGUUAGGAAAAUUUUCCGUGAUACCAUUAUUCGCCUACACCUUUGACAACUAUUAAAAAAAAAAAAAAAAGGGGAGAAAGCUGUCUCGAAAAUAUCAUCUGGUUGGGUAUGCAGAUGUGUAGACUAGUCUGAGUGAAGCAGUGUGUGUGAAAACUCCUCAUCUGAGAAAUAGCUACCUCACUGAGCUGGUGGGUUGAACCUGUUUUGAGUUCGUUGUGCUUGCUCAUGUGCACAUCAUGUUGCUUCAUAAAAUUUGUGUUCAAAGGUAUGUUGUGGGUGCAUCUACUGAGUGACAACCCAAUGAAUCUAACACUUAAAAGUUGUUUCUUGGUUAGCAUAUCUGGAUCUUUAACAUGGUCACUUCCUGUUCUCUGUCUACUUAAUUAAUGGAUGCACGUUUUUCUGUAUACAACAGAUUAUGUUUGUGUAACAUAGAGUGUCUUGUUUAAAUUGCAGAUGGAAUAUCUUUUGCCAAGCUCAAUUUUUGUCUCACCGGUAAACACCGGUUAUGUGUACUAAUGCGAUUUGUGAGUCUUUGAUGCAAUUUCAGGGUUUGUCAUUUGACACUGCCUCUCCUGUCCUGGAAUGUCUUGAGUCUGUUUUUACAUGAAUAUGCACCCAAGCAGGGGGAGAAUAUGGUGAUCUGUAGGAUCUGUGAGUAAGUGGGAGCAAAUGCUUCUGAUGCUCUGGAGCUUGAGGUGUCACAUUCAAGUAAAAAGGGGGAGAUUGAAGACAUAUGGAUGUCGAGUUACAGAAAGAUCAUGUGGAGCACAUGAGAGAGCUGUAUGCGGGAAGCUGCGAUUGGUGACUGGAGAACGUGAGAAUCAAGUUAUUCAAGAUAUAAGCAAAUCAAUGAAAAAAAAAUUGAAGAUAUCUUAGAAUAGGAAAUUAGGUCAGCUGCGUUUGUGUGGCUACUUAUAUAUUGGCAGUCUAAGCAUUAGGCUUAGGUUGGCCGUCUUUUAUCAUCUCUGUGAAUCACAAGUUCUAGGCUAGAAGCUGUUAGGGUUCUUGGUGAGUGAUCAGAGUGUCCAGCAUAUAUGUUGAUGUGUUUGUGAGAUUGGGUAGAUUAGGAAUUGGUCAGUGACGAGUUGUGUCAACGUCGUGUAAAUCUGAUAAAACAGAUCUAUUAGAUUGUUUAAGUGAUUUCUAAUAAAUAAAAGAGGUUCUUUUCAGUCCCAUCGACAUCUACGUAAUAAGAGAUUCUUCUUCGUAGGAGAUAUUGGAUCGUCGUGGAGAGACAUAUCUGUUUCCUUGGAUCGCAAGAAAGAAGACUCUUUAGUGAUCUUUCGGUUCUUCUUCGUCUCUUCGUCGGAGAGAAUUAUCGUUAAAACGAGUUUAGGGAGAGUAGUGACACCGCAAGUGAUUAGAAUAGUUAUAUAUAUAGACAAAUAAAUAGUUCUCUAAUAUUUUUUUUCCUUCUUUAAUUUUUUUUUGUCAACGUUUUUCGUCUUUAAUUUGUUAAGCAAUUUUAUGGGUAUGCCUUUAAAUACAGAGACGUAUUUGUUAUUUGAAUGAGAAAAAUAUGUUGAAACAAAGAGAAUAUGAUUUUCAUGAUUAUUUUUACAACACCUAAAAACAAAAAUAAAGUAAUUUAAUUGAUUCAUUCACUAAAUGCCCUAUUUAAUUAUUGUUUUCACAUUGAGUCAAAGUAAUAUAUAUAUAUAUAUAUAUGUAUAGAUUAGGAUCCGCCCGAUGUGCGGGUUUCAAAAUUUUUAAAUUAAAUUAAGUUUAACAAAAAAAACAUAUUUAACUUUUUAUUGUGAAUAUAAACUAUUUUAAGAAAUAAGAAGAUAAAAUUUUAAUUAGAUUGAAGAUUAGUUUUUUUUUUUUCCCGGCAAAAACAGACUUCCAUUGACUUAAAAGAGUUAUUACAAAGACUUUAACAGAAUUACUAGAACAUAAUUAUUACAUACGCAAAUGUAUGUGCCAUACACUAAGAAAAAUACAGCAGAAGAAAGAUUGACGAUGCUUUCCGAAGAGUAGUCUUACUCGCUAACCGACCAUAAGAUCCAUUAUUGGCCAACUUUAUAUAUGAUUUUUCUUUGUUACGAUUGGCAUGCAACAACUUGUGGCUGAACUUUCUUUUUGCAAACCGUAACUUUAAACCCGAUGUGUCCUUAAAUAAUUCUGAAAUGUAGACACAGUGAUACUAAAGCUUCCGUACCAAAGUCUUUCUUAAAAAACUCGACUUUGUAAUUUUCUUUAACAUAAUCACAAAUAAAUUUACUGUAGUCGAAGUAGGUUCGACUAUAAUAUCCUUUGAAAAGAUUGCCUUACCAUAUUCCAAAAAAUCCCUAAAUCUUACCCGAAAGAAACAUAGGCCUUGACACAACAACAUUUUCAUGGUCACUUCUGUUGAAGAAACAACAAGUGAUGCGUUUGAUCCCACGACACAAUCAACGUCAUCAUCAUUGAGGUUGGAUUUUACACUAAUUUUAAAACCAAACAAACCAUUGGUAUUCCUUGAAGUAUUAAAAUUGUUGAAAAUCACCAAUUGAAGCGGUGGGCUUGGCCAAUAUUGAUGAAGCCCAUUGACAUUUGAAAAAAGCAACAAGACAAAUUCAUCAUUCUUCUCCACCAAGCAUCCGAGCAAGAGGAUUCUGAACGCGUUCAUAUAGUCGUGUGAAAUUUACUCUUGCACGCGCCGCCGUCUUCCUUCUCGUCACUCUCUCUCCAUGAAUCUCCACAAAGAGAUUUUUGUUGAUAAAACCUGACUUAUUUCUUCUAAUGGAUAUGAAAUCAUGUCGUAUCCGUCCAUUAACACAAUUGCCCAUACCGAUCUUGUGCAUAUAUUCCACUGUAUAUCUCGCUGAUGCAUUCCAUAACCACCAAAUCCAACCAAUAUUAAUCAAAUCAUGUGGCCAAAACUUGACUAUGUCUAUAAUGGACUUCAAAAACUGAAUCCGAUUAUGAUCAAAUUGAUGCAUCCGUAGUUUCAUCACACAAACAGUAGAAUCACAAUUGAUUACUCCAGGAUCCCAUAUCCGAAAUUGAUUUCCAAUUCCUGAAUUGGAGAGAUUCAUCUGAGAAACACCGUUCGAAGAAGGAAAGAAGCCGACACCAUAACACUUGAGUUUUAUUGGGAGAUAUGAGAUUGUAUAUUAUUGUAUUUCCUUAUUUUCGGGAUUCUAAAGAGAUCUUACUUGAUCCCCAAGUUCUAGAGAGAUCUUACUUGAUCCCCAAGUUAUAACUCUAUGUAUAAAUAUAGACGUGUAAUCGUUUGUGAAUAAUAAGAGAAGAACACAUUAAACCUAGCCGUCUCUUAUUCUACAUGGUAUCAGAGCCUAGGUCCUAAUCUCUUUGUUUUUAUCUUCUUCACUUUCUAAAUCUUUGAUUAAGAUCACUUGUUUGGUGCUAUGUCGACGGGAGAAGAUGGAAGAGCUAUUGUCCCUAAGCCCUCUGGUUCAAGUGAGAGCCAGACCUGCGCUUUUUCCUCAUCGGACAACCCAGGUUCGAUGAUCUCCUAUGUUCAGUUGACGGGAGAGAACUACGCGGAGUGGGCUACAGAGAUGAUGAAUGCUCUUAAGGCAAAGAGGAAGACCGGGUUUGUUGAUGGCUCAAUCGUGAAGCCGAUGGCUGCAGGUUUGGAGUUGGAGACGUGGACCAACGUGAACUCGAUGGUGGUAGGGUGGCUGAGAACUUCUAUCGUGCCUCGGAUCAGAUCCACGGUGUCAUUCAUCUCUGACGCAGCUGAGUUGUGGGAAAGCUUGAGAAAAAGAUUUUCUGUUGGAAACAAAGUUCGAACCAUCAGAUUGUCUCUCUCAUAAGUUCAUGUUGUCAAGAAGGUCAAUCCGUAAUUGAUUAUUACGGACGCCUGGUGGUGUUGUGGGAUGAGUUACAAAGUUAUCGCACAAUUCCCGUGUGUACGUGUGGAGCCGGUUCUCAAAUCGCAAAAGAGAGAGAGGAUGAAAAGGUGCAUCAGUUCUAUCGUGCCUCGGAUCAGAUCCACGGUGUCAUUCAUCUCUGACGCAGCUGAGUUGUGGGAAAGCUUGAGAAAAAGAUUUUUUGUUGGAAACAAAGUUCGAACCAUCAGAUUGUCUCUCUCAUAAGUUCAUGUCGUCAAGAAGGUCAAUCCGUAAUUGAUUAUUACGGACUCCUGGUGGUGUUGUGGGAAGAGUUGCAAAGUUAUCGCACAAUUCCCGUGUGUACGUGUGGAGCCGGUGCUCAAAUCGCAAAAGAGAGAGAGGAUGAAAAGGUGCAUCAGUUUGUCAUGGGGCUUGAUGAGUCUCGGUUUGGUAAAGUGAUUUGUUCAAUCAUUGAUGCCGAUUGAUAUGUCUAUAAUUUGCAUGAUUUAAGCAUUCAUUCUUCAUCACUUUGUCAUUGUUUCAAUCACAUUUCAUCUCAUUAGUAGUCGUUUUAGUGUGUUUUGCAUACUUAGGACGUUUUUGCAUUAGGAUUGCAUGUGCAUCGCAUAUUUGGUUGUUUUCAGGUACUUUGGAUGCUUUUGGAGUUCAAACAGAGGAGAAACAGAACAGAAAUUCAAAACGCUCAAUCACUCCCUCAGCCAAAGCACUCGAUCGCAACCUCGGAGCCCUGACAGAGCAAAGCACUCGAUCGCAACCCCAGAAACUGUCAUGAAGGGCAAAACCACUCGAUCACAACCCCGGAGCAAUUUCAGAAGAAACCACUCGAUCGCAAGAUCGAGCAGAAGCUGUCAUGAAGGAUAUAUCACUCGAUCACAACCCCGGAGAAGCCAGCAGCUCAGUUUCACUCGAUCGCAAGCCCGGAGGGAUCACCCACUCUACACCACUCGAUCACCACCUCACGUCAUCUACUCGAUCGCACCACUCGAUCGCAAUGUCGCUGGACCAUUCCAUCUCGUCUUCACUACAGACCACUCGAUCGCAAGACGGAGUUCCCGAAGCCCAGUUUGAUCAGUUUCACUCGAUCACAGGGAGGCCCAUUUCAGCCCAUCAGAUGCUCGAUCGCAGGGUCUCGAUGUGAAGACCACUAUCUCGAACUUUCCUUAUUUGAUUUUUUUUCGCUUAUAUAAGCAGCCUCUAAGGGUUUUCCCUAGGGCAUCCAGUCUUUUAUUUUCAGUUUUUACCUAGACUAGUUUUCGUAGCCGCAGUGUGUUCUUCCUGCGACUUUGUAUU
rnacentral:lncRNA from 1 species